CAGCAUCAAUGAUAGAGUCCAGCUUGUAUAGGGAGCUUCCUCUAUUGCACUGUUUGGCUUUUUCCAGCAAGGCAAAAUCCUCUUUGAAAUGCUGUCUCUGCUCGUGGCAAAUAAUGGCCUUUUCAGCAUUUUCCGUGUCCUCUACUGAAAGUCUUAGUGCAUUAGCUGUAGGCCUUUUGAGCAGAAGCAUCUGAUCCUUCAGUCGCUUUCCUUUAUCCUGCUUUACUCCAAGAUCAGUGGAGCAAUCUUUCCUCUUUUCUCUCCUCUGCAGGAGCUUUCGGUCAUCAGCUGACAUUUGUCUUUCCUCUUCAUACUCGUUUUCUGGAAAGUCAUUCAUAUAUUGUCUUUCAUUAAGCUUCUCAAGGUGAACAAUUGAGGUCCUGUUCACUACUGCCACAGGGGUUUCAUCAUCCGGAUCUGUGGAAGCAUUAGGUGGACCAUUAACGACCCAUCCUAACAGUGUUUUCACUGCAUAUGGGCCGUUUCCUUGGAUAAGGCCAUUUCUUGAGGUCCGCCUGGAAGGACUUCAGUUCUCCGUCCUCUAGCACCAAGCUGCCUCAUGAGCCCCUCUGUGCAAAAUGUGUCGGUACUACCAGGGUCCAGGAAUGCAUAGGUCAGUAUACUUUUAUUUCCAUGGCAGAGUUUCACCUUCACUGGCACUAUGGCAAGUAUGCUGUCUUUACCAGCCCCAAUUCCUUCACCUUCUCCUACUGAAACAAGAGCACUGCUGAUGGAUGUCUCUUCAGGCCUUGCUCCUCCACUCUUCUGCUCUGUCUUAUCAUGUUUAAAGUUCUCAGUUUCAGGCUUAGAAGA